UCAAUUGUCGUAUGUGAUGAAAGAUGAUACCAGAAUUUUUGGCACUGCCAUUCCUUUUCCUGGUAUAUAUAUUUUUCUGGUCUAUAUAUAUUUUUACCGUGAAUUUGACCUGAAGCUAGAAGGGAAAGAUGGCCUGAAGGAUGGGAUCGCUUCACUCCUUUCGAGUCAGGUCUCCAGGAAUCCACAUCUCAUGACUUCCAACCCAGGUCUCCCCCAACCCCCCAUAAUCAUCUGCUUCACAAGGAUAUGAAUAUCUUCUGACACAAUUUAAAAACGGAGUGUCUAUGCACAACCUAGCUAUAACUGAUACCCUACUGUGUAACACAUUUCUUUCCAGAUCUUAGAGGACAAAGGUGCGGGGAAAACAAACUCCAUCCGUGCCGGGUUGCCAAGUGCACUGUGCAGACAGGGCGAUGCACAUACUUUGCAGUGUAUCUGAAUAGCAAAGCCUAGACAUCAAACAGAAUGCACUAUGAUUCAAUCACAUCAAAACCAUCAGGACUUGAAAGCUAGGACAUUUUUUUUUUUUUACCUCCUAUUCAUUAUGCUGCCAUAUUUCAUAAAAUAUACGGUGUU